rnacentral:lncRNA from 1 species
AUAUGAAAUUCAAAUCAAGACAUGAAAUUUAAACAUUUCUAUCACAUAGCCAACAACAAAACCUAGGUGAUCAACAAUCCUACACCCAAGCAUGAUCAUUUGAUUGAACCAAUAAGGAUGGCUCUGAUACCAUUGUAGGAUGUUGAUGGCACAGUGGUUGCAUGGAUUUUAAAAUUUUUAUUAUAAAAUAUCGUUACAUCAAAUCCUAAACCCAAGAACACCUUAAUGGUUUACAAUCUAACAUACAAAUUUAAAGUAGGAGCAGAAGAAUAUCUAUCACACUAAAUCCAAAAUUAAAGGAGCGAUCUCUAUAAGAGAGCUAACACCAUGA